rnacentral:rRNA from 1 species
AUUGAACGCUGGCGGCAGGCCUAACACAUGCAAGUCGAGCGGAGCGGCGGACGGGUGAGUAAUGCCUAGGAAUCUGCCUGGUAGUGGGGGAUAACGUCCGGAAACGGGCGCUAAUACCGCAUCCUAUCAGAUGAGCCUAGGUCGGAUUAGCUAGUUGGUGGGGUAAAGGCCUACAAAGGCGACGAUCCGUAACUGGGCUGAGCGGAUGAUCAGUCACACUAGAAUUGAGACACGGUCCAGACUCCGACGGGAGGCAGCAGUGGGGAAUAGUGGACAAUGGGCGAAAUCCGGAUCCAUCCAUGCCGCGUGUGGGAAGAAGGUCGUCGGAUUGUAAAGCACGUUAAGUUGGGAGGCGUUACCAACAGAAUAAGCACCGGCUAACUUCGUGCCAGCCGCCGCGGUAAUAC